CGGGAGGGAAAGCAGGCAGGGUCACGGAGUCACAGCGUCUCCAGAAGGAGGAGGCGUGGGCCCUCCCAUCACGUCUCUCCCAGCAGAGAAGCAGUCAUUACACGUGGCACCAUGGAGGCAUUAGCGACCUUGACAAGCCAGAGAGCAUUAGCAGGUGAGAGCUCACUUCGCAAACUUGAUGCGGAUGACAGCGCGGAGGGAGCAAGAGGGAGAUGCCGGCUGCAGAGGACGGAAUCGGAGGGCAGAACGGGGCUCGACCUUUGAGGAAGCAGGAGCGUGACGCUAGGAGGCUUGGGGGGUGACAAGAAGACAGAACUUGUACUCUUCCUCAGAAGAAUUCUGCUGAACAAAAAUGUCCUCCUCACGUUUCACAGGUAUUAUCAUCCCUGUCUUACAGAUGAAGAAACAGAGGCACAGAGAAGGUAAGCAACUUCUCAGGGGUCA
rnacentral:lncRNA from 1 species